AGCAGCCGCGGUAAUUCCAGCUCCAAUAGCGUAUAUUAAAGUUGUUGCAGUUAAAAAGCUCGUAGUUGAAUUUCGGGAUCAAUAUGCCGGUCAUGCCUUGGUAUGCACUGGUAUCUUUGAUUUCUCCCUUCUGACGAACUUUGAUGUCAUUAAUUUGGUGUCAUAGGGAAUCAGGACUGUUACUUUGAAAAAAUUGAGUGUUUAAAGCAGGCUCACGCUUGAAUACAUUAGCAUGGAAUAAUGAAAUAGGACGUUUGAUUCUAUUUUGUUGGUUUCUAGGAUCGACGUAAUGAUUAAUAGGGAUAGUUGGGGGCAUUAGUAUUCAAUUGUCAGAGGUGAAAUUCUUGGAUUUAUUGAAGACUAACUACUGCGAAAGCAUUUGCCAAGGAUGUUUUCAUUAAUCAAGAACGAAAGUUAGGGGAUCGAAGACGAUCAGAUACCGUCGUAGUCUUAACCAUAAACUAUGCCGACUAGGGAUCGGAUGAUGUUAAUUUUUAAUGA
rnacentral:rRNA from 1 species